UAUUGACAAAGUGGGACGAGAAAAUCGUGACCUGUACACGAAUCAAUAAAUCUAAAUAACGUGACCAUUUCACGAACUGGCGUGAGACCAGGUUGUGUAAAUUCAGUUCACGAUAUGAAGAGAAACAAGUAGGACGGAAGAGAUCAGAGUUGGCACGGACCGUCCAUGUGCAGCCCAAAUACCGUAUUGACCUGAUAUGAUACGACCCUGUGUUGUCCGCCUGUCUGUUCGCAUGAGGACCGCAGUAGACCCCGCAGAUCCAGGCGACUAUGCAGGCCAAGUGGCGCUCCCCGUGUGAAAAGCCCCUUUAUGCUUCAACAGUGUUAUGACAUAAUGAGACUUUCUUCACUUCAUAUGAACACCAUAUGUGUAAUUCAUGGCUCAAUUCAAACGUUCUCAACCUGUUCGCUACCGUACAUUUUUUUUUCCUAAUUAAGGUCCCAUCGUGGUCCACCGGAAGAGGGUGGACAUCACCUUUCAAUGGCGAAAAAAUCUAA